AACGAACGCUGGCGGCAUGCCUAACACAUGCAAGUCGAACGAGACCUUCGGGUCUAGUGGCGCACGGGUGCGUAACGCGUGGGAACCUGCCCUUAGGUUCGGAAUAACUCCCCGAAAGGGGUGCUAAUACCGGAUAAUGUCUUCGGACCAAAGAUUUAUCGCCUUUGGAUGGGCCCGCGUUGGAUUAGCUAGUUGGUAGGGUAAAAGCCUACCAAGGCGACGAUCCAUAGCUGGUCUGAGAGGAUGAUCAUCCACACUGGGACUGAGACACGGCCCAGACUCCUACGGGAGGCAGCAGUAUAGAAUAUUGGACAAUGGGCGAAAGCCUGAUCCAGCAAUGCCGCGUGAGUGAUGAAGGCCUUAGGGUUGUAAAGCUCUUUUACCCGGGAUGAUAAUGACAGUACCGGGAGAAUAAGCUCCGGCUAACUCCGUG
rnacentral:rRNA from 1 species